ensembl:lncRNA
UUUAUCAGCUGUUUGGACUCUCAUUGGUGAGCAAGUAAUGCUAAAUUUCUACAAAUGCGAUCUGAUCUGUCCUGAUGAAGAAACAAACUCAUCUACAUCUUAGAUGACCUGAGGUCAAAUUUUCAUUUUUAAACAAAACAUUCCUUUAAAAUUAAGGAGCAAAUGGCUCAUAGAUUGUACUUGAUGCAGCAAUCCAAUGUGUUUGUAUUUUAGGAUUUGGAAGAUAAACUGACAGACACUCACACAGCACUUGGGGUGAGUCGGAUACUUACUGGAGAUCUUUUUGAUACUAUCAGCUUUAUUAAUGGUUUAUACUAUGUGUUUUGUAAUCUGUAAACUGGUACAAAUAUUGUUCUCCUAUUUCAUAGACUGUACAGAUAAUGGUUGGUGUCAUGAAUAUCACAGUGGGGUUUUUUGGCUUCGUCUUUGCUUAUUGGAUCGGCAGUGUGUUCCUUGUUGUUGGAAUUAUGUGUGUUCUUGCAGUGAUGUUUCCCGCUCCCAGGCUGCUGGUCAUCACAGUGGCUCUGAAUGUAGUCAGUGCUGCACUAGCUAUCACAGCUGCUGUGCUGUAUUCAAUAGACCUGGCAAUGGGAAGCAGUUUAAGCUGUUACAGAGAACAUUAUUAUUAUUCAUCUAAUAAUGACUGGCCUGCCCAUAAAAAGAGUAACUUUGAGUCCUGUUUUUACUACAAAAAUCUCAGUCAGGUAAUGAUUUGAUUUAUUUAUCUUUUUCAGUGUUAUAAAAAAUAUUUGUAUGUAAUUUAUUAUUUUUUAAUAAUACACUGAUGUUUUUCCACCUCUAGAUGAUGCUCGGAGGACUAGAUAUCAUGAUGA